UAAAGGGCUGCGGAAGUAAAACUCCCUGAGUUUUUUUUUCAUCGCAAUUGCUGAUACAAAGCUAGCUUCGAUUCAUUUACGACGCGGUUCAUUCCAACCUGAAUUGUUUCUGUCGAGAUUUUUGUUUUAAGGUCGAAGUGACGGUUGUUAAUGUUUCUACCCGGCGUCAGAAUGGGAUCGAGAGUUUGGACGAUUUCUUCUUCGUGUCGAGGGAGUAUGUUCUCUCUUGCUAUGAUCUCUCUGAAAUCAUCUUUCCGAUGACCGGGGUAAAGCAGUCUUGAUAAUGAGUUUUCUUAUUAAAGCCCAGAAGGAUGGGGUUAUUGCUGGAGCUAUAGGGCUGCUUUGAGGCAGUGAAGGGACGUCUCUCAUAUCCUCUGCAAUAAAAUCUCUUCAUAUUGGAAUACCUAAGCUUAUUGUCUCAACGUUUCCUAGUGGUCAGACAGACUCUUAUAUCUGGACAUCCGAUCGGAUACUUUUCCCAUCAAUAGUGGAUGUGUCUGGAAUCAGUGGAGGAAACUGUACUCCGUCUACUGGCUAUAGCAGUUGCUGCUCAUGGGAUCAAUCCUAAUAUCUUGGUGCUCUAUCAUGGAGAAUUGGACAAAUUAUGUUCAGAUUGAUCUUAAUUUGAAGGCAGAAGAUAAUGCUUUGGUCUGCACUCCUUUCGUUCCCCGUGAAAAGAUAAUCUUCAGAUCCUUAGCAAAAAGUCUGCCAAAGUCUCGGUCUCAUCCUAAUGUAAGCAACCAAAAAUAGGGCAGUGUAGAAGAUCACAGUACCAAGUAUUAUGAGUUCGGAUCAUUUGGUAAUAAAUGCCAGCGUUAGACAGCUUGGUAGUACAUGCAGAAGAUUGUACAUUUUUCUACAUAAUCAAUUCCAGGAAAUUUGAGGUAUAGUGAAGCCAAUAUUAGGCUAAUUUUCUCCUGUCAAUUUGUGUAUUUAUAUUGAUUGUAUUCAUUCUGAGACGAUUCCUCUCGAUCCUCCUGGGACUGUAAAUGUUAGAUGGUUGCCUUUUAUGCCUGUGUAAGAAUGUAAUUCUCAUUUGUCAAAUGCAUGAAAAUGAAAAGAUGUACAAUUACUUCAAUAUUAAAAUUAUCUAAUGAAGUGCGGCCCUUGAUGAGCUUGAUACUUGCCCUGUAUAUUAUAUCUAGUACUAACUUCUUACACGCUUGUGAUGGGCAGAAAAAUGUAGCAAAUCGUACCCUCUGUGUUUUGUUCUUCUCUCUCUCUCUCUUUUUUUUUUUCUUUUUUUUUUUUUGUUGGUUCACUACUUUAUCAAGAUCAAUUUGGGGAAGAUCCAUUAUCCUAGAUAUUGUAGAUUCAAACUUGGACUGUAAGAACAGUCCUGUUAUCAAUUGCACAUUGUUUCUCCUUGAAGAUUAAAAUGAAGGUCCUGUUUCUUUCAAGUGCGAGCCGUCCUUAUCAUUUCACAUGUCAUUCAGACCUUAACCAUGACGGAGCAAGAUGUUAUCAUCCUUGAGGUGUUCAUUCUUAGGUUUUUCUGCUUCCUCUUAAUCUUCUACUCAUGUAAGAACGACACAAUUGUAGAUGAAGAUCUUUCUUUUAAUGAUGCUACUAAAUCGUCGAUUAUAAGGUCUUCAAAGUAAUGGGGCAGCCGCUUCUCAGCCUAGGGAUAUGUGCCUUCUUUUCGAGGCAAGGAUCUGGAUCAUCAACCGUCCACCUAAACAAUACAAAGGAAAAAUAAUGAUAAGGAUAAGAAGAGGAAGUUCGGAAUUAGUUCUUGGAACGGUAUGAAAUGCCUGCUGCUUUAGGAAUGUACAGACUCACCUGUACCCUCCAGUCAUCCUGUGCAAAAAGACCAACAUUGUUAAUUUGGCCAUGUUGAUUCCGAGACAGGUCCUGGGUCCAGAUCCAAAAGGUGGAAGCUGCAUUUUUUUAGCUGAAUUCAAGUGUCUCGGAGCUACAUCUUCUUCCCCCUCUCCUGGAGUGGAGUUUGACUAGGAUAUUUAAAAUAUUUUUAAAAUUCAGAUUGUAUAUAAAUUAAUUACUAUAAAAAAAAACAUUUCUUUCUUUUUCCAUAAAGUUAAAUUAGUUUUAUUUAUUUAUUUAUUAAUAUUAUUAUUGGUUAAAUAUGUAAGUUAGUGAAUCUGGUUAUUUAACCUCACUUGUAUGAACUGGCGGCAGGGAAUGGAAAGAGGGAACGGAAAAGGAGAGGGAGCUACUGAAAGGGAUGAUGAUCAUGAAACUCCAUAAACUCGGUAACUCCAGUUUUCCCCUCUCUAAGCUUGUCAAUGUUCUAGUUAAUUUUGUAUCGCUUAAAAUCGUUGGAGCUUAUGAUCGGGUGCAUCAUCUAAUUAUUUGUUAUGUUGAUCUAAUUAUUUGUUAUGUUGAGAGGUUUU